AGUCACCAAACAGACACAAGCUGAAACCAUGAGGAUUCAACCUCGAGGGAAACCAGAGCAACUGUAGAAUGUACGUGCUCCAGCUUUAAGGAGCUCUCCUUGAUCAGCGUGGCCGAGCGGGAGAAGAUGUCUGUGGCGUGAGGCAGCAGGAGCUGCAGGUGCUUGUGAAGAAGAGCCACACUGCUGGAGUUCUGCAGAGAGACACAGAAUUCAAGGUUCACAAACCAAGCAGAUGUUUUAUCCUGAUUUGAAUUAUUAGAUGUAUUGAUAACAGAUGACAGCUCCUUGGAGAGGAAGCUCUCAGUGAGAAGAAGCAGGGGAGGCACCUGUCCUUUGGAGAGACUCUCCCAUCGGUCCGGGCCCUGAGGCAGCAGCGAGUGGAGCAGCUCCAUCCUCUCCCUCAGCGGGGGCAGCAGCAUCGUGGCCCCCACAGACAGAGUCUCAAUCACCGCCUGGUGGGGACCACAAAGUGCUUGUAUCAUCUCUUACUUCCUGGAUCUCGUCGGGCACGGAGGAGUCCAUCAGUCUGAAGAGCAGGUUCCUCAGGGGCCUCGCCUGCCGACCCAAGAUACUGGUGGCCACGCCCCCGGCCAGAGCCAGAGCCAGGUGAUUGGACAAGAGCCGAAGGCACAGCUUGAGAAAGCAGCUGAGGUCUCACCGGGACGAGGGGAAGGGCAGAGGAGGAACUUCACUGUUGAUCCCGUCACAGUAGCGCUCGAGGAAGGAGCGCAGGUGGGAGAAGGUGCUUUCCUCCAGGUCCACGCAGUACGGCCUGUGCCACGCCACCACCUGCCUGGAGAGUCAGAGACAAGAUGUGGACAAUGUGUCUUACUGGUGUCUCCAGCCUGAAGAAGAGCGUCUGAGACACGAAGCCACGGUUUGGACAGUUUGGACACAAGAGCUUGAACAGGAAUCUCUAGGCCACUGAUUCGAUUUCAAUUCAGAGGCAGACGAUUCAACGAUAUCGAUGUGUCAAAGAAUUUGAUUUCUAUAAACAAUUAUUAGUUUUUAUCACCGUGUGACUGUCUUCACGAGAAUCCUGAUUUGUGCUUUAAAAGGGUUUUAAACUGUUGUCAUGACUGAACUCAAGUGAAUCAACAAACACAAAGUAAAGUUCUGUUCAGGUUCUAAUAACUUCUGAGUCGUGUCAGUGUUUAUUGUUAAAGUGCAAAGUGAGUGCAGGUCAGCAGGUCAGCGGAGGGAGGACUCUGACAAGGGAAAGGACCACCAGACCAAAUAUUUAA